rnacentral:lncRNA from 1 species
UAGGCAGGGAGAAGAGAAGAGAGGCCUGGACAGAACCAGAAUAACUUCAAACAAGAUAAGAAGGAGACAGAAAACCAGACCACCAAAGAGGAAAUAGGAAGAAAGCAGGGUGGGGAAUGUGAAGGAGUUCAGGAAGAGUCCAGAGUCCAGAGUCCUAGUGCUGCCUGCCCGUCAUGAGAAGAUGCUCAGUCCAUCAAAGUCUUCCAUUCAAACUGUCUUCUUUGCGUCAUUCCAGUUGGAGUCUGUGCUUAAAAUACAGGCAUCUGUUACUGGUUGGGCUCCCAGGUGGCUCGUAUGGUAAAGAAUCUGCCUGCAAUGAAGGACCUGGGUUCGAUUCCUGGAUUGGGAAGAUCCCCUGAAGAAGGGCAUGGCAACCCACUCCAGUAUUCUUGCCUGGAGAAUUCCAUGGACAGAGGAGCAUGGUGGGCUACAGUCCAUGGGGUUACAAAGAGUCAGACAUGUCGGACCGACUAAUACUAGUGUUAUUGGUUGGAUGAAAGUUAUAUGGUAGAUGGUAAAAUUAAUCAAUAGGUACUCUUUAAAAUGUUACUCUCUUGGCACUGCAGCCCCAUGUGUCUUAAAAUUCUCAAGGGAUUCUAGCUGGGACCAUAGCUAUGACCUUACAAUCUUUUUCUUGAAACAAACUGAAUUUAAGCACUGAAUGGAAUUUAAAUGGAAA